rnacentral:rRNA from 1 species
AACGAACGCUGGCGGCAUGCCUAACACAUGCAAGUCGAACGAUCCCUUCGGGGAUAGUGGCGCACGGGUGCGUAACGCGUGGGAACCUGCCCUUAGGUUCGGAAUAACUCAGAGAAAUUUGAGCUAAUACCGGAUAAUGUCUUCGGACCAAAGAUUUAUCGCCUUUGGAUGGGCCCGCGUUGGAUUAGCUAGUUGGUGGGGUAAAGGCCUACCAAGGCGACGAUCCAUAGCUGGUCUGAGAGGAUGAUCAGCCACACUGGGACUGAGACACGGCCCAGACUCCUACGGGAGGCAGCAGUGGGGAAUAUUGGACAAUGGGCGAAAGCCUGAUCCAGCAAUGCCGCGUGAGUGAUGAAGGCCUUAGGGUUGUAAAGCUCUUUUACCCGGGAUGAUAAGGACAGUACCGGGAGAAUAAGCCCCGGCUAACUCCGU